AUGGUCUUGGAAGAAUACAAUUGUGUUGUGCUGAAUUGCCAACAAGAAGAAACUCUACAUCAUUUAUUCUGGGGGUGCCAAUUCUCUAGGACAUGCUGGAAUUUCAUAUGUCCAGAAAGAUCUCCAAACUUGUCUGUGCUAGAGGCCUUCCAAGAUCUGAAGGAUAAGUUGAAGGUUCCUUUCUUCAUGGAAAUCAUCAUUCUGGGUUCUUGGGCUAUCUGGAUUACAAGAAACAAUAAGAUUUUUGAGAACAUUCAGCCCUCCUUCCAGGGAUGGAAGCACAUUUACUUUGAGGAACUGAAGUUGCUGUCCCACAGGAUCAAGAUUAAAUAUGCUGCUGAAUUCAACACCUGGCUGGCUAGCUUGCUGGUUUCAUGA
rnacentral:rRNA from 1 species